ACUGAAGUGGAGGAAAAUGUGGUAGAAGGAGAAGCAAAGAGUAGUAAUUUUCCGAGAACACAAAUUCCAUAUGAGCCAAAGUAAUUGGCCUUGGAGGCAGGAGGUGCAGAGAUAAGUUAAGGAUUAUAGGUCGAAGAAAAUAACAUGAUAAAUCAAAAACCCUGAAUACCAUAAUGCCAGAAAUAAUCGGAGAAGAGCGUCCACAACUUUUGAAUACAGAUAGCAAAGUGUCGUUUCAGAGAAUCCACAGAUUGCUGCUGUUGCCAUGCUCUGAACUCUAGGACACAGCAUGGUUCAGUUGAACUUUUCGGUGUCAAAUUUUGCAAGCAGCGAGGAGAAAGACCUUUGGAUAAGAAGGAAAGGCAAACCAAAGAACAUGAUGAUUCUGAGUUUACUAGAAGUCAGAGAGGGGAAGGGACAGACAUUUCCCAAGGCAAUUGAGUGAGCCCAAGCUGCAAUCCCAGAUUCUAUGUAUACCUUUGAAACCCUUUAGGUGUCUCAUCCACAAGAAAAGAUGGACGUUCAGUGGAGAAGAGCCAUUUGAGUCAUUCCUUAAAAUAACAACAAAACCUAGAGAUGGACGGCCAUGCCACCCUGCACAGAAGCACAAGAAAGAUAAGGAAUGCCCUCUGACCUACAAGUGCUCGGUCAGUUUCUGCCUGAACAGCUCCAUUAAGAAGCUACUUGCUGCAUUUUGAGCCCUGCUUGUUAGGUGGGCUUCUUGCUUGGCUAGGUCAAGUAGAUGACUCCUCAGUGCUUCUGUGGCCCCCGGAAGACGACUAUGAAUUUCACUUGCUGGACCGUGAGGACUUUCUGAUCUUCUGAAGUUCACAGGCUCCUACUGCGGCUUGUUAUGGCUCCAGAUACUCAUUUUACCCGAUUCAGAAGAAGCAAACCCAAGAGCCAAAAGAAACCCUGGGCAUCAUGUGUGCAAAGCCAGGAGCAAACUCAGGAGAAAAUUGGAUGGCUUGGGGAGAGAAGAGAAAAUACGUGCCAUCUGUUCUCAGAGAAAUGGAGAAAGUGCCAGGAGGAAACUGAGGCAUGGAGAUGGGAAGUAUCUUGCCCCACAGUGAUAUAGCUGAUAAGGCUUCAGGUAAGUGUCUAGCCCUGGAACCCAGGGCUCUUACAUUCAGGUCCUCUACACUUAUUCUAGUAUACCACACAGCUUGCCAAGGACCCUAACUUGGGGUCAGGGCAACUGAGUUCAAAUCCUGGCUCCGCUGCCUACUAGCGAUGUCACCACAGGUACUUUUCUGCUGGGCCUCAGUUCCCUUUGCUAUAAAAUGAUAGCAGUGGAUCAGAUGAUCUCAGAAAUCCUAUCUAUCCAGCCUUAUCUCUCAUCAUCACCUACAUGAAAUCUUUCUUGUAGCCAGGCUCCUCUGCCCAGAACCUCUACGUUCCUGUCUCCUUGCCUUUGCUAGCAGUACUUCCCAUUUUUGGAAUGCCCUUCCCCUGCUCUUAUGCAACUCCUUCAGAUCCUCUGAGGAGUGGCCCUAGCCAUGCCUCCUCUGGGAAUUCUCCCUUUCCCAGCUCUGCUGUGCCUGACGUCUCCCUUCCCUGACUGGAUGGACCUGGAAGGCCUUAUGCCCUUGGAAUACACUCUCCUUCUAGCCUCAUAGGAUUAUACAUUAGCCCUGGAGUUGAGAGGGUCCCUGGAGGCCAUCUAGACCAAUUCCCUCAUUUUAUGGAGAAGGAGAUGGCCUCAGGAAAGUUCAGUGGUUUGCCUAAGAUCAUACAGAUAGGAAGUGACAGAGCCUGGACUUGAACCCAGGUCCUGUGACUCCCAAUCCAGUGCUCUUUGCUGUACCACCUUGUCUCUCCAGUAGAGUUGGUGCCAUUUGUCUUAUGGAUCCCUGCGGCCCCCCCCCCCUCCACUGUUCAGUGGGCAUAUUGGGCAGGGCACAGAGCCAGAGGUCAGGUGAUGGAGGAAUGCCAGGUAGGUGAUGGGAUCUCAGGAAGGAAGGUGAAGGUGAUCAGGCAGGAGGAGUGAGAUUUCCGCUGGAGAAGAAAGUAUUCACACUGAUGAAAUGGGGCAUCUUUGAUUAACUUGGAGCCUGGACUUUUGUAGGUAAGCUGUGUGUGGGGAGAGGGUGGAGGUCCACCUAGGAAACCAGAGGGAGGGAGGCACCUUAGAGAUCAUCUUACUCAUUUGACAAAGAAGGAACGGGAGGCCCAGGGGUCACAGAACUGACAUUUGAACCCAGGUCAGCUGACUCCAGAUCCCGUGUUCUUUCUACUGAGCCAUGGUGAAUAAACUGGCCAGCUUCUUAAUUAAGGUAGUAGAU
rnacentral:lncRNA from 1 species